AGGAAUGUAGGGGGAGGGGGGUUCUAUUUAAGGAGAGUUGAGAUGACUGUCGCAUCCUUUCUGUUCGGGUUGCUGUUCGAGAACGUACAUGCAACAUAGCCUACAUGUACAAUUGAUGAUUGGCAAUUCCAUCUGAUCAUGUGGCCUGCUGUACAUUUCCAAAGUGUCGUCUUUUGCUGCAUGUUGUAUGUCGUGAAAUCUUAGCUUCUUCAUUGCAGCACGUGCACGUGAUCGUUUCCGUGAAGAGUUUAGUGUACAUUUCUGUAGCAGAUGUUGCUGUCCAAUUUGGCAUGUGUCAGACUGUUGGUGAAAGAUAAUUUUGCAUCAGGUUGAUGAUGUCUGAGCAGCAUUGCUUGCAUGCAGAUGGUUUCGUUGCAGCCAGCUGGUGAAAUGGUACUGCGAGUUGAACCUGCAGCUGCAGCAAUUAGGGCUUGCUUCAUCCUGAAGUCUGAAAAUGCUUCAUGAAGUGUAACCACAGUAGACAUCUUCAAUUGGUUGAUGGUGUCUGAUCUGCAUUGCUCGCAAGCAGAUGGUUUUGUUGCAGCCAGUUGGUGAAAGGUUAGCUCGAGUAGACCUGAAACUGCUGCGAGUAGGACUUGUGUCACCCUGAAGUGUGAAAAUGUUGCAUGAAGUGGAACUGCAGUUGAAGACAUCUUGAAUUGGCAACAUAGCCUACAAGUACAACCCAAUUCCAUCUGAUCAUGUGGCCUGCUGUACAUUUACAAAGUGUCGUCUCUUGCUGCACGUUGUACGUCGUGAAGCUUCUUGGGUCAAAAAAACUUUUUCGUUCUGUUAAAUUCUAUGUUUACGUGUAAAACUGUCAAUGCGGUGGUGUAGAGGUUGGGUGAGAAAGACCCAUCCCUAGCAACGCCAACCUAAAGAAGGAAAGGCCAGUUUGCAUUUCCUUCGCGCUUGAAGGUCAUGGAGAUCAUUAUGUAAAACGUAUAAUGCGACAGCGGAGAGGUUGGGUGAGAAAG